rnacentral:lncRNA from 1 species
AUGGUUGGACCGCCAGACAUACGGCAUUUGCAGAAAGAAAGGCAUGCACUUCUUGAACAACUGGAAGACUGUCCCAGCUCAGGAGAGGAGGGAAGUUCGCGUCGAAGGUGUAGGCAUCAUAGAAGUCAAAGUGGAGAAGGUAGCCGGCCAGGCACACCACUGUGUGAUGAAAGGCCAGAGAAUUUGAUACCCGUGGAACCCCGUAAAACACCCAGAGAUAAACCUGGGGACCCCCUAUCCCUUCCUUUACCCAGGUUUGCCUCCCAAGUUUUUUCACCAAGACCAACUCCUCCCAGUCCACCAGCAUCCCCGCCUAGACCUGACUCUUCAUCCUCUGACUCUCAACCUCCUCCCUCUCCCGAAUGGGAAGAACGAUUGCGGUCACUAGAUGAAAAGUAUGAGAAAUGGUCGGGCUCCCGGACAGCAACUGCGAGAGUAGAUUCUUCUUCGGUUAGAAUAAGGCAUAAACUACUUGAUCUAGAUGUUCAUGAGCUGCAGCCCUCGGAAAUUGUGAAAUCAGUUCUGGCAAGGCGAAGUGUAUUUGAUGAGGAUUCGAAGAGGCUUGAAAACUUUCGGGAGAAGUAUGAGCCAAAAGAAUUUGUACCCUCAAGACCCAAUUUUCAGUCAUCGAUACGAACACGCUUAGAUGUUUCUUCACCCCUUCCAUCACCAUCUUACUCUAUACCCAAGUCGCCUGCUUCAUCACCUGCGCCAGCAAAAGGCUUGCAGUAUCCAUUCCCAAGUCAUCCUCCGGUGUUACCAACUUCAUCUGUUGCUACAGGGACUUCUAUGGCAGUUUUAACAACUCCCACCUCCCCUGUCAGUGAUUAUGGAACAACUCGUUUUGAACCAGUAUCAGCAAGCUCCAUUGAAGAAGCAAUUGGAAAGCGAAGAUCUCGUGAUGAUGAGUCAGUCCUCAAAUGGCUGAAUCAUUCCGAGCGGAAGUCAAGUAUAGGUGAACCAAUUCCAGCAAUAGCUCAUGUAGACCCAAGGAAACACCUCAUGGAUCACAGACGAGGGAGAGAGAGCACAGAUUCUAAAGAGUCCUUAAACUUAAAAGAAGUUGAAUUUAGAGAAAAUGCUGCUGACAGGUUAAGAGUGAGAGAUCUAGAUGAAUUGAGAAUUAGCUCUCAACCAGGAAAGCAUAAAUUAGAAACUAAUCCCAGAGCUGAUUCAAGGCUCCCCACUUUAGACCACUCAAACCCUGAUUCCAGUAGUAAGCCAAAAAGUAUAGAUUCUCUAGAUAGAAAAAUAGAUUGUUUCAGUAGCCCAUUAGAUAAAAGGGAUGCUGUUUCAGUCGACCCACGCUUAGAAAAACGAGAAAUAUUUCCUUCAGACCCUCGACUGGAGAGGGGUCAGACCUGCUCCUCCAUAACCUAUGACUACACUUGUUCUACCAAAGUACCUGAUUUUUUAGGCAAGCGAUACGAAUUGAAGUUAGAUCGGGAUGAUCAAAUCCAAACGCAAGAUAAUCAUAAAAAUGUUCCUGAUAGUAAAGAUAGUUCUGAUAAUAGCUUCAAAAUAAGUUUGAAUCCUAGACAUCCAGAUUCAAGGAGUGCAAUCGAAGUUAAAUCAAAAGAAACCAGCGGAAAGUGCGAUUUAGUUCCAUCAGAAAUGAAUAAUAUUGACGACACUCCUCUAAGUUGUGCUGAAAUGUCAGCUAGCUUUAUUUGUUCAAAACCUACUGAAAACAUUACAACAGCCCCUGAGCCAAUGGAAUUUGAAAAGCCCAGGUAUGAGUCAAUAUCAGACUCGGAAUCUAGUUUCAAAGAAGAAAUCCACCAUUUGCAGAAAGACAUGGAAAUUAGUGAUGAUGAAUUUGAUUCCAAAAUGUAUGAAAAGCAGCAGCCGAGAAGUCCUAUUGAUGACAUUAAACCUCCAGUACUGGAUAAAGUGGUUGAAGAAACCCCGAUUUCUCCUGACAGCGAAACAAUCAAGGAAAAUAUUGAUCCACCAGAAAAUGUGUUGGAACCGGUGACCAUGAAUGAAGUAGUUUCUACAACUGAGGCUCCAUUAGAAAGCAAUGAUGUAGUUAAAAUCAAACAUGAAAUAAAAAUUGAGUGCAAUUCCUUACCGGAAAAUGAUUUAGAGAUCUUUGAUGAAGUCAAAAUAGUAGACAACAAAGAAACAAGUGACCAAAACUCUAAAUUUGAUGCGAUUGUAAGUCCCAAAAAUGACCUAUCAAAGAAUUUUCCAGAAGAAUCUGAAAAUCACCAUCCCCUUGAGGACAAAUCAGACUCUAAAACAAGAGAUACUGACAGUGAUAUUUCAUCAAAAAGUGAUGCUGACUCUCCCAAGAUGCCUGAACUCAAACCAUGUGUGACGUUAGUUGAAAAAGUUGAGAAAGAGCAUAAACCCAAAGAUACAAUUAAAAAUUGUAGGGAAGUUCCUGAAAAAAGCAAAGAUUCUCCGGGUGAUUCUAGGCACAAAGAAAAGGAUUCAACCAUAGCCAUAGAACCUAAGCAUAAAGAAAAAGAAGCUCAUAUUGAACACAAGCAUAAGGACAAGAUUCAUCCACAGAAAGCAGGCAUAAAGACAAAGAACCACAUGCAGAAAACAGGCAUCGAGAGAAAGAAAAUCGUCUCGAUAAGAAUGACUCAAAACCGAAAGAUGACAAACCCUUUCAUGAAAAAUUUGAGUCCAAGAGGAAAGACAGUGUUUCAGAAAAAAUUGAUCUCAAAAUUGACUCCAAACACGACUCGAGACAUGACUACAAGUAUAGUAGCAAAAGGAGAGAUAGCUUUUCCUCUGAGAAAUCUGACCACAGGCACAGAAGUCAGUCGUCUUCUGAGCAUAAAACAAAAGACUCUGAAAGAACAGAAGCUAAGAGGAAAGAUAGUUUCUCUGAGAAAUCGGAGAAUAAAAUUAAAGAUAUCUGUGAUAAAAAUGUACAUAAAGCGCACGACAGUAUUCCUGAGAAAACUGAUAAACGCCAUGAAAGCUCCGAUAAAAGCUUAA